AUUCUUGCUGCCUGAAUUAGAAGAACUGAAAAGCAUCUUGGACUUGGUGCUCAUUAUUGGAUUGUCUCCUGACAGCCCUGAAUACUCCCCCAGACUCUCCUCCUGAACUGUGAGAAAUCUAUUUUGCAUCCUCAAGGACCUUCCCAGAUCAGGCAGAAGUGCGCACACCGGUGUGCCACUGGUACACUCUGUAUGCUUUAUGUUCCCGACAGUCAUGGAAUUCCAUUGGUUGUGGAGUGGAUCAAGAUGGAACGCAGCUAUGUAAAGUGUUUGGUGGUUAUUUAGAAGUCACACUUAUCAGGGUUACUUUAGGAUUUGCAGCAUUGGAGAACCGGACACCAUUUUUGACUGCAAGUCUAGGUUGCUGUCGGCUGCUUUCUGGAGUGCGUGACAUCUUCCCUGUGCCUUGACAUCGAGGUUCCAGGAGGAAGCUGAAUCCCAACCCAUCAGACUUUGAAAAAAGAUACUUUCUGGAGCCGUGGACAGG
rnacentral:lncRNA from 1 species